rnacentral:rRNA from 1 species
GACGAACGCUGGCGGCGUGCUUAACACAUGCAAGUCGAACGGAAAGGCCCUGCUUGCAGGGUACUCGAGUGGCGAACGGGUGAGUAACACGUGGGUGAUCUGCCCUGCACUUCGGGAUAAGCUUGGGAAACUGGGUCUAAUACCGGAUAGGAGCCAUCUUUAGUGUGGUGGUUGGAAAGUUUUUUCGGUGUAGGAUGAGCUCGCGGCCUAUCAGCUUGUUGGUGGGGUAAUGGCCUACCAAGGCGGCGACGGGUAGCCGGCCUGAGAGGGUGUACGGCCACAUUGGGACUGAGAUACGGCCCAGACUCCUACGGGAGGCAGCAGUGGGGAAUAUUGCACAAUGGGCGCAAGCCUGAUGCAGCGACGCCGCGUGGGGGAUGAAGGCCUUUGGGUUGUAAACUCCUUUCGCUAGGGACGAAGCUUUGUUGUGACGGUACCUAGAUAAGAAGCACCGGCUAACUACGUG